UAAAGGUUUGGUCCUGGCCUUUUCAUUAACUUAUAGUUGACUUAUACAUGCAAGCAUCCCCAUCCCGGUGAGAAUGCCCUCUAUAUCUUACUAGAUCAAAAGGUGCAGGCAUCAAGUUCACUUAUUUACCAUGUAGCUCAUAACGCCUUGCUCCACCACACCCCCACGGGACACAGCAGUAAUUAAAAUUAAGCAAUGAACGAAAGUUCGACUAAAUUAGACUAUUCUAGGGUUGGUAAAUUUCGUGCCAGCCACCGCGGUCAUACGAUUAACCCAAGUUAAUGAAGCACGGCGUAAAGCGUGAUUAAGAGAUAUCACAAAUAAGAUUAAGCUAAUACUAAGCUGUAGAAAGCCCUAGUAUUAAUAAAAAUAGAAUACGAAAGUAAUCUUAAAAAUUCUGAACUCACGAUAGCUAAGACACAAACUGGGAUUAGAUACCCCACUAUGCUUAGCCCUAAACAUAAAUACUCAAUAAACAAGAGUAUUCGCCAGAGUACUACUAGCAACAGCCUAAAACUCAAAGGACUUGGCGGUGCUUUACACCCCUCUAGAGGAGCCUGUUCUAUAAUCGAUAAACCCCGCUUAACCUUACCACCCCUUGCAACAUCAGCCUAUAUACCGCCAUCUUCAGCAAACCCUAUCAAGGUAGUAUAGUAAGCACAAUAAUUCAACACUAAUACGUUAGGUCAAGGUGUAGCCUAUGAGGUGGGAAGAAAUGGGCUACAUUUUCUACUCUACUAGAACACUCACGAUAACUUUCAUGAAACACUGAAAGUCAAAGGCGGAUUUAGUAGUAAGUUAGGAGUAGAGAGCCUAACUGAAUAGGGCAAUAAGGCACGCACACACCGCCCGUCACCCUCUUCAAAUAUAAAAUAAAAUUUAAUUCCAUAAUUAUAUUAAACACAAGUAUAAGAAGAGAUAAGUCGUAACAAGGUAAACAUACUGGAAAGUGUGUUUGGAAUAAU
rnacentral:ncRNA from 1 species